UACAGAGGGUGCGAACGUUGUUCGGAAUUACUGGGCAUAAAGCGUGCGUAGGCGGCGGCGUAAGUGUAGGGUGAAAUCCCACGGCCCACCCGUGUGAACAGCCCCGCAUACUGCGUUGCUUGAGUGUGGUAGGGGAGAGCGGAACUCCUGGUGGAGCGGUGAAAUGCGUAGAUAUCAGGAGGAACACCGGUGGCGCAGGCGGCUCUCUGGUCCACAACUGACGCUGAAGUACGAAAGCUAGGGUAGCGAACGGG
rnacentral:rRNA from 1 species